GUUUAAAUAGCUUAACUAAAAGCAAAGCUUUGAAGAAGCUUAGAUGAUUAAGUAAAUUAAUUUUUAAACA
rnacentral:tRNA from 1 species